UCGUUCUUAUCGUCAUCUCCACCGAGGGGAAUCUCUUCUCCGGGUCGACCACAGUCUUCGACACCCCGCGCUCCUCCUCCCAGUGAAGCAGAGGUCAAACAGAUGCUCCACUUUCCAGUCGGACAGGAGAGACCGGUUUGUGCUGAACAGCACGCUGUAGGUGCCAUUGAUGCAGCAGAGCCAGAUGGGCAGUUUUGGAGUUUUCAACAUACUGCCGACCUAGGAGGAAAUACGAAAUCUGAGACCAGGUCAUGAAAAGCAACAGAUCGGGAAAAAUUGGAGGAAUCUCUCAGCUCAUGCAGUGGUGGUGCUUUGGCACUCUCGAAAGCGAUCAUCUUUUCCAUCUUCACAUAUCGCGCUGGACUUGCAGGAAGCAUGGCAUCAGAGCAGGGAUUCUCCUCAGCAUGUGAGCCACAGAGGAACAAGCAAAGACUGAGGCAUGGCUAAAAAGGCAAAUGAAAGAGAAUCCACAGCCAAAAUGUCGGGUAGUUUACUCUCUUUCUUUGUACUUCCAGUGUUCUUUUCAGAUAUAUAACAUUCAAUUCCCAACUCCUUGACAGUGUGUUCGGACCCAGAAAACGAUAAAAAGAGACCCGUUCUAAACCAGUCAAAGAAUAAUAUGGUUUUCGUCAGGACAUACUGUAUUCCAAAUAGAAAAAGUUCAGGUCUUUUUGACCUAAAAGGAGUUCGGCAUCCAUGUGCUCUCCAGGUGCCUUCUUAAUAAAACAAUUAAAAGUGUCUGGUGCCGAGAUAAAAACCAAGGUUGUUUUACCAGAAUUCUGUUGUGAUUUCAACAUCGUGAUUUCCAUUGUAGGCUGGAUGGGGGUAAAAUAAGUGAGUCAGGAAACCUUAGUCCAAGUAUUUAACAAGGUAUGCCCGUGGUCCAGUCUGGUAAAGCACAGCAAAGGCUUGUUGAAACCUGGUGGAAACCACAGAAGAACCUUGUUCAAAGUGCAAAAGCCUUUCUGGUAGAUUUAUCAAGGUCUUCUAUGGAAAUAUAGAGCAACAGAACUGCAGAAGCUUAUUGGGCUGAGAGGAACUGGUGAUGGGCUGAGAGGUCUCAUUCCUCUCUUUUGCGGUCUUUCUGAGGUUCUGAUGUGAGGCAGCCCCGAAAUGACCCACAGCCAGCCACAUAUGGAAUUCUUCAAGCUGCCUUUCCACUAACUGUAGACGUCGUUAUAACCACACCGGCACCCGGUCAGCUUCUGUGGUUCUGUGGCAGAAAUAUUAACUGCGGAAGACGGGAUGCCAGAAUCAGAUGAAAUUGAUCCAGUUUUGAUAGCUGAAUUGGACCCAUGGG